rnacentral:rRNA from 1 species
CCUACGGGAGACUGCAGUCGAGAAUCAUUCACAAUGGGGGAAACACUGAUGGUGCGACGCCGCGUGGGGGAAUGAAGGUCUUCGGAUUGUAAACCCCUGUCAUGUGGGAGCAAAUUAAAAAGAUAGUACCACAAGAGGAAGAGACGGCUAACUCUGUGCCAGCAGCCGCGGUAAUACAGCGGUCUCAAGCGUUGUUCGGAAUCACUGGGCGUAAAGCGUGCGUAGGCUGUUUCGUAAGUCGUGUGUGAAAGGCGCGGGCUCAACCCGCGGACGGCACAUGAUACUGCGAGACUAGAGUAAUGGAGGGGGAACCGGAAUUCUCGGUGUAGCAGUGAAAUGCGUAGAUAUCGAGAGGAACACUCGUGGCGAAGGCGGGUUCCUGGACAUUAACUGACGCUGAGGCACGAAGGCCAGGGGAGCGAAAGGGAUUAGAUACCCCUGUAGUC